AAAUUGAAGAGUUUGAUCAUGGCUCAGAUUGAACGCUGGCGGCAGGCCUAACACAUGCAAGUCGAACGGUAACAGGAAGCAGCUUGCUGCUUUGCUGACGAGUGGCGGACGGGUGAGUAAUGUCUGGGAAACUGCCUGAUGGAGGGGGAUAACUACUGGAAACGGUGGCUAAUACCGCAUAACGUCGCAAGACCAAAGAGGGGGACCUUCGGGCCUCUUGCCAUCAGAUGUGCCCAGAUGGGAUUAGCUUGUUGGUGAGGUAACGGCUCACCAAGGCGACGAUUCCUAGCUGGUCUGAGAGGAUGACCAGCCACACUGGAACUGAGACACGGUCCAGACUCCUACGGGAGGCAGCAGUGGGGAAUAUUGCACAAUGGGCGCAAGCCUGAUGCAGCCAUGCCGCGUGUAUGAAGAAGGCCUUCGGGUUGUAAAGUACUUUCAGCGGGGAGGAAGGUGUUGUGGUUAAUAACC
rnacentral:rRNA from 1 species